CAAUGCCGCGUGAGCGAAGAAGGUCUUCGGAUUGUAAAGCUCUGUUGACCGGGGAAAAAGGAAGGAAAGAGGAAAUGCUUUUCUUUGGAUGGUACCCGGCCAGAAAGUCACGGCUAACUACGUGCC
rnacentral:rRNA from 1 species